AUGGCUUCUCGGCCUUUGGCUAAGAUCAAGUGUAAUAUCUGUCCUUAUUAGUCUAAUAUCUGAUACGUCCUCUAUCCGAGGACAAUAUAUUAAAUGGAUAUUUGGAGCAGGGAGUUAGAAUAGGAGCUUGCUCCAUCCACUCCACACAUUGACCUGGUAUUGCAGUACUUCCAGGAAUGGUGCACCUUUC
ensembl:snRNA U2 U2 spliceosomal RNA